AGAGAGAGAAUGAAUAUCUUAAGCAGGCUCCUUGCUCAGCACAGAGCCCAAUGUGCUCGCACCUACAAUCCUGGGAUCAGGACUUGAGUGGAAAUCAAGAGUUGGAUGCUCAACCGACUAAGCCACCCAGGUGCCCCUUGGGUUCUAAUGUCUAUGCUACAUCUUUGCACACUUUAUCUUGCCCCCACUCACUUCAGUUUUCCCCAAGACCUUAUUCAAAAUGUGGAGAGAAUGGACCCACUUGGACUCUCUUUCUCCUUGGUUGUCUGCUCCUUUAAUUCCAGCUCUCGCCUUGCUCCGUAAAACCGUGCUUGAUCCUGUCUUGCACUUAUUCUUAUCUUUAGAUAUAUGUGUUAUUCAUGUUUUUAAAAGCCUGGAUGCUGACCAGUCAUCUUGAACAUCUUGCAAGGCAAAGUUAUUGAAAAUUGGGGCAAUAGUUAAUCACCUUUGUAUCCCAGCAGGAAGGUAGGAAAGAUGCCGUAGUUGGGUCAACUCAACCCAUGCCUGAGAGUACACCUGGGUGUUAUUCAAAUCAAGACUGAGGAAGGAAAGUUAAUUUAAACAUAGCCUAUGUGUAUCUGAAUUGGGCAAUUGCUGUGGGGAAUAAAAAGACAAAGAGGCAUUCAAGGAAGCGCGAACACACAGAAGGGUAACAGAGUGGUAGCAGAAUCAUGGCGUCCCUAAAAGGUCCACACCCUAAUCCUUGGAAACUGUGCAUGUGUUCCUUUACACAACAAAAGAAUGUGUAGAUAUGAUAAAAUCAAAGCUCUGAGAUGGGAAGUUAGCCUGGAUUAUCCAGCUUGGCCCAGUGUAAUCACAUGGGGCCUUUAUGUGAAAGAGGGAGGCAAGGAAGUCAGUUAUGCAAUAUGAGAAUUGACUGGCCAAUGUUGGCUAUGAACAAGAAAUGAAAACAGGUUCUAGAAGCUGAAAAAGGCAAAAGGGAACAGAGCUCUGCCUCAUCUUGAUUUUAGUUCAGUAAGUAAGACCUGUUUUGGACUUCUCCUCUUCAGACCAUGAGAUAAGAUAUUUGUGUGUUUUUUUUUAAGCCACUGAUCUUGUGGUAAUUUGUUACAGCAGCAAUAGAAACUAAUACAAACAGCAAAGUUAAAUGAGACACAAAUCCAGAAAAUGGUGCCAUGGGUCAGUAGCCAGAAAUUGUCAAAUAUUGGGUUUUCUACUAUAAUGCGAUAUAUGUAUCCUCCCCUACUAAAACAACAACAACAACAACAACAACAACAACAACAACGACAACAAAUGCUUCUGUCUGUAAAAUCAAGCAUGAAAAGUAACUGGGCUCUAAGUGAAAGUAUGAUUGUGGCAAAUCACUCAAAGCUUAUGGAGUUUAGAAUCAGAGCACUACUAAAACAAUAACAACACCAAUACAAAUACUGGUACAGUUAAUCUCUGCUGGCAUGGCAUUUACCUCUUGCUUUCUCCUUGAGAAUGGAACGUUCAUAGGGCAGUUGUUUCUGAUAGUGAUCUGCUUCAUGAAAAUUAAAAGUACAAUCUUGGGACGCCUGGGGGGCUCAGUUGGUGGAGUGUCCAACUUCAGCUUAGGUCGUGAUCUCAUGAUCUCAUGGUUUGUGAGCUCGAGCCCCGCAUCUGGCUUACUGCUAUUAAGCGCAGAGCCAGCUCCAGAUCUUCUGUCCCUCUCUCUUCCCCUCCCCCGCUCAUACUGUUUCUCCCUCAAAAAUAAAAUAAACAUUUUUUUUUUAAAGUACAAUCCUGAGAUAGCCUUCUUGGUCAAUCAUUUCUUUUUAAGCACUGGAGGAAAUGUCUCUGCAAAUUCUUCAUUUCCACUUACAACUUCCCUAGACAUAUUGGAAAGUCCAAUUUCUUGAAGUUAUGAAACCAGUUCCUACUUGCACUAAUGGGAGACGCUUUGGCAAGAUGCUCGGAGUCUCAGAUUUUCUUCGAGUUUUCAUUUGGUGCUAAAACUUUCUAUUUAACUCUGAAACCCUUGCUGAUCAUUGCUUCCAAAUGGUGAUCUGCUUGGAAUAAUUGAGCAAAAGCAGACUGUAAUUGGUGGAAACAGUGAGCGCUAGGAAUUUAAAUGAAGGUGGCAGUGUGGUGGCAAAGGCCUCCUGCUGGUGGCCUUGAGCAGAGCCUUGAGAAUGGGUAAGACUGUGGAGGGUAUGGAGUAACUUCCAGGCGGAGCGAAGAACAAUGGCGGCACCAUCCAACCUGGGGUGUGCCUGGUGAACUGUGUUUGGCUCCAGUACCAGUGGCUGGCACAGUCACGAUGGCUGCAGGUGGCAGACCUCCUAUCCUCGGGGUUGUUUCUCAUGGUCUUGGACUGCAGGCACCAAGAAGCUUCUCUCAAGGAGGCAGUGCCACCCCUACGCUCCCGCAUACGUACACUGUGACUUCCUCACGUAUCCUUCAAGCUGUCUCGCCCCUGUAACUCCCCCUUCACGUCAGCCUCCUGUGAUUUUGUGGCCCUGGAACUCUUAGAGGAAAAAAAAAAUGUACAAGAGCAGGUUCUAGACAUGCACGCUUUUCCAACUUUUCCAGCACAAGGUCCUUCCACAAUUUCAGUGCCUCUGCCUAUCACAGAUACCAUUGAGAGAAAAAGCCUCACCAACAAAGUCACCAUAGGGUGGGGAGGUGGCCUUCAAAUGCACACCCCACGGACAGAUAUUAGAACCUCCUGUAUAUUAAUGUGUACAAUGAAUUUGUACCCAUUUCUCAGCCUGAGCCACUCUUACCCCACGUCUGUUCUUCAUCCUCCCUGACCUGUGGGGUCGGUCCCCACUCCUCCACCUCCUCCUCCUGCCCACAUUCCUCUCGGUGCCUCUUUCCCCGCUUUGCCCUUCAAAUGCAUCCUCUAAAUUGGAAGAUGACAGUUGCGCUCGGAAGGGCUCCGGGCUCCUCACUGUGCACCCUAGAAGAUCUUUGUGUGGUGCUUCUGUCCUUGCCAGUUGCCAGAUCUAUCCUGUUUGUGGUACUGGACUUGGGGCUGGCCUUAUCCUUUGUUCCAAAAGAGCGUGCAUUCAUCACAGCUUUUCUAGAGUCUCUCCUGCCUGUUUGCCUGCUGUUCGUUCAGAAGUAACUCAGUGAUGGCUUAAUGUCUGGGCCGCACAGCAUGCCCAGUCAGAGAAGAAAUAAGUCCUUAAGGGCAUUCAAAAGAGAGCCACAAGGACAACCGGGGGAAACUGAGGCCACACAACCCGGAAAAGAAGGCAGGACGCUGGGGGACUUGUAAAUGUGACUUAGAGGGGGUGCUCUGUCACGAUCACAAGAUUCAGAAAGAGACUGGAGGAUGAGCUAUGUGUGUGCAACUUUUUCCAGUCACGUAUUCAAGAAAUAAUAAUGAAAAAUGAGUUCCGCGCAAUGGAUUAGUAAGUGCCGAUAAGGCACGGAUUGAAUAUGUAAGUGAAUUGGAUUUAAAUUACGCAUUAAGGAGCUCUUUCGAGGGCAAUUAUCAGUCCUCCUUUGGAAGACUUUAAAAAGAGGAUCGAUUAAACUAGGUUUAAAUGGGGACUGUGGAAAGCAAGAGGAGGAAAGGGUUAUGGAGGGAGCUUUCUCGGUGCAGCGCCCUCAGCCCCGCCCGCCCGUGAGCAGCACCUGCAGGUGUAAAUAUUUGCCUGCCCCUUGUUCAGCAAAUCCUUGUCCGGCCACACCCACCUGCUUCCAAGGGGGCCCAUGAUAAACUGGUGCAGUGACAAUGAUAUUGGCCUUGGUGUUCUAAAAGAGGCACAUGAAGUAGUGUGGACCUUGGCCUUCAAUUAACAUCACAGAGAAAUGAACUCCCAUCAUCCCACUGGAUUAGCAACAUGAUCAGGUGGUUUUUUUCCACCUACUAUAUUCCAGGACAAUGCUCCAGGGAAAAGUCCAGAGAGUCAGCACUAGCUCAGUACAGUACCCGGCGCGGGGCGGGGGAGCACUGGAGGAAAAAGAAAAGGACUUACAUGUUUUUCAAAACUGCUGCCAAAAGAUAAGGUUGUUUAUGCAACUCGUAACACUGAUCAGGGGAGGACUGCGAAACCAGGAUGGAAAGAACUUCGGUCGGCUGAUAAAUACACAAUUCACAUCAGCCAGGCAGGGAGAAGGGUUGAGUAAGGUCUUCGUGUACCAAGAGUCAAGGAGCAGUACCUCGAAGGCAUAUCUGGGGCGAGGUAUCUUACUUCAUUUGUAUGGAGUGAUGAUUUGGAGUCUACAUUCAGAAAAACAAUUUUUCUAACGGAGCACCAGGCCACAGACACAGGCCUCUUAACAGACCCAGAUGGUCAGUGGAUUAAAAUGAUGACUUCCCAUGUCCUGGGUGCCAGAUGGCUCUCCUAUUGGCCUCACACUGACCUCUAGGUAGCAGAACCUUACCAUCAGGGAGCAGGCAUUGGGGAGGAAUUGAGGCCAACUGGGGUGUUAUAAAAGGAGUCGGUCAUCUGUGAGUCCUGGCUAUUACCGGGAAGUGAUCUAAAAAAAUGAAAAUAGAUAUGCAUAUCAGAAGUCAGAACAGACCUUUUACUGAAAGGCAAUCUGGAGAAGUCCAUUGACUUCAAGGGAUUAAAACCCCAUUGAUCUCUGGGUGGAGACACUGAAAUCUCCUCCUGGGCUCUGAGUGUGACCAGACCGCGCCUUUGGACCUCUGUCUGGUGGGCAGGCUCCAGUGGAGGAAGCCUUACUUGGAUCCUUUUGUGGACGAACAGAGACUUUGAUGAAUGCUUCUUUGGCAAUGACAAGCUUUUUGCACCUAUCAUUAGAGUCAGGAGGCAAGUUCCAAAACCCUUCUCAAGUGGAACUUGAGGAGAUCCAAGGACGUGUCAUAAAGCCUGGGGAAUUUACCACUAGGCACAAGGACAUAGCCACAACAUAGGGGAGUAUGGAUGUGGGACUCCAAUCCAGCCAUGGGCAGAGUUCUCAUCAGAGGGCACUCCACCGGCUAUGCUGAGGCAGCUCUCCCAGGAUGAUCCCAGCUCAGAGGAGAUGGUCUAAGGUGUCCGUGUGACGAUUAAUGACAUUGGAUCUUUCUCCAGUGUCAGUGUGGGAAUCAUGAGACUUCAGAUUAAGAUUUAAAUGUUGGCCAAAGGCUUCUGUGUGAAUUAUAUUUUUAAGUUGUGACUUCCUUCCUGUAUGUUGUGGCCGGUGCACAAACUGGAGGAGGGACAGGUGGUGUCACUCUACCAGAGACGUUUCUCCAGAUUUCUGGGUGGAUUCUUGAGUCAACAGAAAUCGGACGGUGCUGAGAAGUAAGGUAGCCCCUUCGAGUAUGAGCUCCUGGUCCCAGAGACAGAGUAUUGAGCACAUGGAUCCAUCCAUCCAUUCCUAUUUGGAGCUGAAGCCUCAGGAACAGUAGGAGAGCAAUCUGUCUUUGAAACCUCCUAAGAAAUUGUCGCUGGGGAUGCAUCUUUUCAGACUCUUGGGAUGGUCUGUCUUGUAGCUGCUGUGAAAUGGAAGAAUUUCCCCAGCACCAUUAUUGCUUUUUCAGUCACCUGCUGGAAAGACAUGUGGAGGAUGUGACAUACCAAAAGCAGUACCAAACUCCUUGCCAAGAGGAAAUCCCUGACCCGAACAGAAAACAUCUGGAGGUACACACAGCGGCGCUACGUGAAACAUCUGUGUGUGACUCAUACGCUGGGCUGCUUGCUCUUUGCCGGCUCUUGACUCCAUUCCCACCCUUCCCGCCUUUCUCCAGAGGGACCGGAAGCCUGUGAACUACACUUCCCAGACUCCCCAGCGGGCUGGCUUCCACUUAGCUUCUACCCGUGGGGCAGACAGCAGUGGGAGGCUGCAAGGGAGGUGGGAGAAAAAGCCAAUUUUUCUUCCAUGUCUGCUGAAGGCUUUGGCAACAGCAGGUGAAUGUGGGUUUGUGCUCAGGUGGUAGAGUUUCAACAGCAGUGGGGCAGGGGGGCUUCUGCAGCCUCUGCAGGGCAGAGUUCCCGAGCUCUGGCUCUGGCUCAGGCAGCAGCAGCAGUGACAGGCAACCCUGGGUGGGAGUUCAGCCUCCUGGCUUCCUGAAAGAUGGCCCGACAAGAGCAGUGGAGCAGUGGGUAUACCAGCAGCCUCAGCAGCAGAGCGGCUGCAGAUUCUGGAUCACACCAUUUUUUCUUGGGCUCAUUCAGCCUUGGGAUGGUAGUCGCUUCCUGCUGUUACUGAUCUCUGAAUGAUCUCAGCUUCCUUUUCAUUUUCCUCCAGCCCUUCACAUGUUGUGAACCGCCCCUCUGUUUGAAAUUCCUAUAGUAGUUUCUGUCCUGCUGACUGGACACUGACCGACGUAGACACAUAUAAACUAAACACAAACAUUGAAGGCAAACCAAACUACCGUUUCACUGUGUUUAAUCCCCUAUUCCACCUGUAUUUUGGAAUUUACAGAAAGGAAAGGAUAGGCAGCACUUUACCCCCCAAAUUUAGCAAAAUUCAGUUCCUGCCGUAUGUCCUGCAGGUUCCACCAAGCCGGAAAAGAAGUUACACAAGUAUUUUAUCGUUUGUAUUUAUUUUAAUGUUUAUUUAUUUUGAGAGAGAGUGUGCACGAGUGUGGGAAGGGGCAGACAGAGAAGGAGAAUCCCAAGCAGGCUCUGCGCUGUGAGCACAGAGCCAGAUUCGGGGCUCGAUCUCGUGUACUGUGAGAUCGUGACCUGAGCUGAAACCAAGAGUCAGGUGCUCAACCAACUGAGCCACCCAUUUGCCCCAACACAAGUAUUUUAUUUUAAUUUUUAUUAUUUAAAAAAAUUUUUAAUGUUUGUUUAUUUUUGAGAGAGACAGAGAGAGAGACAGACAGAUAGAGCAUGAGCAGGGGAGGGGCAGAGAGAGAGGGAGACACAGAAUCCGAAACAAACAGGCUCCAGGCUCUGAGCUGUCAGCACAGAGCCCGACACAGGGCUCAAACCCACGAACUCAUGAACUGUGAGAUCAUGACCUGAGCUGAAGUCGGACGCUCAGCCAACUGAGCCACCCAGGCACCCCAACAACACAAGUAUUUUAAAAGAAGAAAUUUUCCUUGAGGGAGGCCUGUCUCUGACCUUAGUCUUUUUUAAAAAAAUGUUUUUUAGUGUUCAUUUAUUUUUGAGAGAGAGAGAGAGAGAGAGAGAGAGAGAGAGAGAGAGAAUGCAAUUGGGGGAUGGACAGAGAGAGAGGCAGAUACCAAAUCUGAAUCAGGCUCCAGGCUCUGAGCUUUCAGCACAGAGCCUGACGUGGGGCUCAAACUCAUGAGCCGUGAGAUCAUGAGCUGAGCUGAAGUCGACGCUUAACUGACUGAGCCACCCAGGUGCCCCUAUAACCUUAACCUUUAAUGACAUUAAUAACAGGUAUGCUUUCACCAAGUGUUUUUUAUAUGUCAAGGCUCCCAAAUAUGUUAUUAUAUUAUCAAAAUAACUCUAGAAUUUAGUUAUUAGUCUAAUUUCAUAAUGAGGAAAAUAUUUUAAUGGCACUGGUUGCUUGUUUAGUGGCUAAACGUCCCUCUCUAGUAUGCACGCUCUUUGCAGUGUAACCUAGCCGUCCCUCCCAUGCAGCAGCGCAGUUUAGUUCUUCACUGCCUCCCCCUUCCCAGAAUUGUGAGGACCUUGUGACCUACUCUGGCCUAUAGAACGUGCCAGAAGAGACAUGCAUGUGAGUUCCGGAGCCCCCGCUCAAGAGGUGUGGCAGGUUCUGCCCUCAUUCAUUUGGACCAUUGUCCUAUAAUGCCUAUAACAGCAGCAUAUAUAGCCCUAUUAGAGGAUGUGAGGCUGUGUGGAGAAGAAACAAAAUGCACCAGCUGACAGCCAAGUACCCACUUCUCGCGUGUGAGUGUGGCCAUCUUGGACCUUCCAACAAGUUGCCUUUCACUGAAAGCAACUACGUGAGCAAGCCAGACAAAACUAGAAGAGGAACCACCCGGGUGACCCACAGAUUUAUGAGAAAUAAGAAAUCAUCACUGUUUUCUUUUUUCUUAUUUUGAGAGAGAGAGAGCUAGCUAGAGAGCGUGUGAAUGGGGGAGGGGGAGAGAGAGAGAGGGAGAAAGAGAAUCUCAAGCAGGCUUCUGUCAGUACGGAGCCCGACUUGGGGCUCAGUCUCAUGAGCCAUGAGAUCAUGACCUGAGCCAAAAUCAAAACUUAGGUGCUCAACCUAAUGAGCCACCCAGGUGCCCCUAAUCGUUAUUUUCUUAAGCCACUAAAUCUAUAGUCAGCAAUAUAUAACUGAUAAAGUGCCAUUUGUUGUUUGCACCAAGCCUCUAUCCUACCUUCAUUUGCUGAUAGCAUCCCAAAUCCCUUCUGUUGUACUUGCUAAGAAGAUGCGCAUCCCCCUCCUGGUCAAGGGGCAUGCAUGUGACUUGGACUGGUCCCACUGGAUGCUCUGUCUCUGGAAUUUGAUUCAUGACCAGAGGGAGGAAAAUUCUGGAUAAAACUAUUAAGAUCUGGUUUCUGCCAUGGAGAUGCUUUGGAGCUGUUGGUUCUUAUCUGCUCCAAAUCUUUGCCUGAAUCAGUUUCUGAUGCUCGUGACCACGUACCCCCAGCUGAUAUACUGUGACAAAUUAAGAAGCCACCUCUAAGUCAUUCUGCUGUGGGCAGCAGCACUGCAACUUGAACCCACAUCUGUCCUGUUUACCUUCCACGUAUCCAUGUUGCCUCCAAUCUAGUUUCCUCACGUAUUUUCGCAUCUUGAAGAUGCCUGGCCUUUCUCAACAGGCACUUAUAAGGACCGAUGAUCCCGCUGUGAGCUGUAACUUGACAUCGAUAUAGGGUCUCUCACCCAAUAAAUGUGGUCGUAACCACAGAAGGGGCUUUUUAAACUGGAGAAAUAGUGUGUGGAGCACAAAGUGGUGGAUUUUUUCGAGAUUUAUUGAAGUGUAAUUGACAUAUGGCAAAAUGUACAAUAUUUGAGUGCACGUAUUUAAAGUGUACAGUUCGAGAAGUUUUGUCAUAUGCAGCUACCCACAGAACCAUCGCCACGGCUGCGAUGAUGAGCAUCCAUCACCACCAAAAGUUUCAUUUCCUUGUGCCCCUCUGUGAGUCCUCCCCCAUCUCUAGCCCCCAUCAAGUAAAGCCCAUCUGCUUUCUGCCAUUAUAGAUUAGUUCGUACUCUCCAAAAUUAUAUCUAGAAAUCACACAUCCUGCAUCUUUUUCUCUAGUUUCUUCUGUUCAGCAUAAUCUGGACAUUCGUCUGUGCUGUCAUAUAUCAACAGUUUAUUCCUUUACAUUGCCGAGUACUAUUUCAUUUGCACAGAUAACACCACAGCGUGUUUAUCUAUUCAUUUGUUGAAGGACAUUUGGGUCGGUUCUUGUUUUGCGCUAUUGCCAAUCAAGCUUCUAUGAACAUGCAUGUAGAAGUCUUUGUAGGGACACAUGCUUCCAUUUCUCUUAGGUAAAAUCUAGGAGUGGAAUGAGUGGAUCAUAUAAUAGGUGUAUAUCUAAAUUUUUAAGAAACUGCCACUCUAUUUUCCAAAAUACUUAACACUAUUUUGCACUCCUACUAGCAGUAUGUGAGGGCUCAAUUCCUGCACAUUCUCGCAAAACUUGUUGUGUUCAGUCUUUUAGAUUCUGACCAUUUUAAUAAGGUAUAACGGUGUCUCAUUAUGGUUUUAAUUUACUCUAAUGACAAAUUCUGUUGAUCAUAUUUUCAUGUAGUUAUUUUAUCUUCUUCAGUGAGGGGUCUGUUAAAAUAUUUUGACCAUUUAAAAAUCGGAUUUGUUUUUUUAUUAUUGAAUUUUGAGAAUUCUUUAUAUGUUCUGGAUAUAAGCCCUUUUUCAGAUAUGUGCUUUGAAAAUAUUUUCUCCUAGCUUGUGACUUGUCUGUUUUAAUAGCAUCUUUUGAAGAGCAGGUGUUUUACAUUUUGAUGAAGUUAAAGUUAAUCAAUUUGUUUUGAAUGCAUCGUGUUUAUGGUGGUAUAUGUAAGAGAUCUAACCCAAGGUCACAAAUAUUUCCUUCUAGAAGUUUUAUAGUUUUAGGUUUUCCAUUUAGUUGUAUGAUCCAUAGUUUUUGUAUAUUGUGCAAGGUAUGGAUUGAGCUUUUUGUGUAUGGAUUACCAGUUGGAUUGGCAUCAUUUGUUGAGAUGACACAGUAGAAAAAUAGGAAAGACUCAUUCUCCAUUUACUUGCUUUUGCAUCUUUGUAAAACAUUGAUUCUCCAUUCAUGUGUGGGUCUCCUGUCCCCUGUCUCAACUUUUUCUUAUGCUCCCUCACUUUAUUUGUCUAUCUUCAUGCCAAAACUAUUCUUUCUCAAUGACUGUACCUUUAUAGUAAGCUUUGUGAUCUAGUCAUAUUAAUCCCCUUCUUUUUAAAUUCAGCUCUUUAAAAAAAAAACCAAAAAACUUGUUUUGGCUAUUCUAGGUCUUUUACAUUUCCAUAAAAAUUUUAGAAUCACGGGGAUGCAAGCUGGUGCAGCCACUCUGGAAAAUAGUAUGGAGGUUUCUCAAAAAACUAAAAAUAGAAGUAGCCUACGACUCAGCAAUUGCACUACUAGGCAUUUAUGCAAGGGAUACAGGUGUGAUGUUUUGAAGGGACACAUGCACCCCCAUGUUUAUAGCAGCACUAUCGACAAUAGCCAAAGUAUGGAAAGAGCCCAAAUGUCCAUCGAUGGAUGAAUGGAUAAAGAAGAUGUGGCAUAUAUACACAAUGGAGUAUUACUCAGCAAUCAAAAAGAAUGAAAUCUUGCCAUUUGCAACUAUGUGGAUGGAACUGGAGGGUAUUAUGCUAAGUGAAAUGAGUCAGUCAGAGAAAGACAAAAAUCAUAUGACUUCACUCAUAUGAGGACUUUAGGAGACAAAACAGAUGAACAUAAGGGAAGGGAAACAAAAAUAAUAAAACAGGGAGGGGGACAAAACAGAAGAGACUCAUAAAUAUGGAGAACAAACUGAGGGUUU